rnacentral:miRNA from 10 species
AAGAUUAGGUUGGUGCAAAAAUAAUUGUGGUUUUUGUCAUUGAAAAUAAUGGCAAAUCCUCAGUUACUUUUGCACCAACCUAUUA